UGCUUAGGAAUCUGCCCAGUAGCGGGGGAUAGCUCGGGGAAACUCGAAUUAAUACCGCAUACGCCCUACGGGGGAAAGCAAGGGAUCUUCGGACCUUGCACUAUUGGAUGAGCCUAAGUCAGAUUAGCUUGUUGGUGGGGUAAAAGCCUACCAAGGCGACGAUCUGUAGCUGGUCUGAGAGGACGAUCAGCCACACUGGGACUGAGACACGGCCCAGACUCCUACGGGAGGCAGCAGUGGGGAAUAUUGGACAAUGGGGGCAACCCUGAUCCAGCAAUGCCGCGUGUGUGAAGAAGGCCU
rnacentral:rRNA from 1 species